CAUGUGGAGCGCUUAGAAGUGAGAAUGCCGGUGUGAGUAGCGAAAGACGGGUGAGAAUCCCGUCCACCGAUUGACUAAGGUUUCCAGAGGAAGGCUCGUCCGCUCUGGGUUAGUCGGGUCCUAAGCUGAGGCCGACAGGCGUAGGCGAUGGAUAACAGGUUGAUAUUCCUGUACCACCAUUAUUCGUUUUAAGCGAUGGGGGGACGCAGUAGGAUAGGCGAAGCGUGCUGUUGGAGUGCACGUCCAAGCAGUGAGAUUGAGUGUUAGGCAAAUCCGGCACUCUUAAGAUUGAGCUGUGAUGGGGAGAGGAACUUGUUCCUCGAGUCGUUGAUUUCACACUGCCGAGAAAAGCCUCUAGCUAGAAUAACGGUGCCCGUACCGCAAACCGACACAGGUAGUCAAGAUGAGAAUUCUAAGGUGAGCGAGCGAACUCUCGUUAAGGAACUCGGCAAAAUGACCCCGUAACUUCGGGAGAAGGGGUGCUCUUUGAGGUUCACGCUUCGAAGAGCCGCAGUGAAUAGGCCCAAGCGACUGUUUAUCAAAAACACAGGUCUCUGCUAAACCGUAAGGUGACGUAUAGGGGCUGACGCCUGCCCGGUGCUGGAAGGUUAAGAGGAGUGGUUAGCGCAAGCGAAGCUACGAAUCGAAGCCCCAGUAAACGGCGGCCGUAACUAUAACGGUCCUAAGGUAGCGAAAUUCCUUGUCGGGUAAGUUCCGACCCGCACGAAAGGCGUAACGAUUUGGGCACUGUCUCAACGAGAGACUCGGUGAAAUCAUAGUACCGGUGAAGAUGCCGGUUACCCGCGACAGGACGGAAAGACCCCGUGGAGCUUUACUGUAGCCUGAUAUUGAAAUUCGGUACAGUUUGUACAGGAUAGGUAGGAGCCUUAGAAGCGUGAGCGCUAGCUUACGUGGAGGCAUUGGUGGGAUACUACCCUAAUUGUAUUGGAUUUCUAACCCGCAGCACUUAUCGUGCUGGGAGACAGUGUCAGGCGGGCAGUUUGACUGGGGCGGUCGCCUCCUAAAGAGUAACGGAGGCGCUCAAAGGUUCCCUCAGAAUGGUUGGAAAUCAUUCAUAGAGUGUAAAGGCAUAAGGGAGCUUGACUGCGAGACCUACAAGUCGAGCAGGGUCGAAAGACGGACUUAGUGAUCCGGUGGUUCCGCAUGGAAGGGCCAUCGCUCAACGGAUAAAAGCUACCCCGGGGAUAACAGGCUUAUCUCCCCCAAGAGUUCACAUCGACGGGGAGGUUUGGCACCUCGAUGUCGGCUCAUCGCAUCCUGGGGCUGUAGUCGGUCCCAAGGGUUGGGCUGUUCGCCCAUUAAAGCGGUACGCGAGCUGGGUUCAGAACGUCGUGAGACAGUUCGGUCCCUAUCCGUCGUGGGCGUAGGAAAUUUGAGAGGAGCUGUCCUUAGUACGAGAGGACCGGGAUGGACAUACCUCUGGUGUACCAGUUGUCGUGCCAACGGCAUAGCUGGGUAGCUAUGUAUGGACGGGAUAAGUGCUGAAAGCAUCUAAGCAUGAAGCCCCCCUCGAGAUGAGAUUUCCCAACUUCGGUUAUAAGAUCCCUCAAAGAUGAUGAGGUGAAU
rnacentral:rRNA from 1 species